AUACGGAGGACGCGAGCGUUAUCCGGAUUCAUUGGGUUUAAAGGGUGCGCAGGCGGCCGUGCAAGUCAGCGGUGAAAGCCCGGGGCCCAACCCCGGAAGUGCCGUUGAUACUGCAUGGCUUGAAUGCGGUCGAGGCGGGCGGAACGUGGCGUGUAGCGGGGGAAUGCGUAGAUAUGCCACAGAACGCCGGUAGCGGAGGCAGCUCGCCAGGCCUGCAUUGACGCUCGGGCACGAAAGCGUGGGGAUCGAACAGGAUUAGAUACCCUGGUAGUCCACGCCGUAAACGAUGGGCGCUCGUCGUCGGCGGCAGACGGUCGGCGGCCAAGCGAAAGCGAUAAGCGCCCCACCUGGGGAGUACGGUCGCAAGGCUGAAACUCAAAUGAAUUGACGGGG
rnacentral:rRNA from 1 species